rnacentral:lncRNA from 1 species
UUGUGAGACAACUUCAACAAGAAGCGGCUGACAGCUUAAAAAAAUUAACUAUGUUAGAGUCUCCACUGGAAGGUAUAUCACAUUAUCACAUUAAUUUGGAUGAGAUACAGGCCCCAAAGAAGAAAUUAUUUCAAGUGGAAAGUCACCUGAAGAAAAAAAUGAAGAAUUAAGAAAACUUUUUGAGUUAAUAUCAUCACUGGAGUAUAAUGUGGAUCGAAUAAGAAAGAAAAAUCAUGAAUUAGAAGAAGAGGCAACUGG